rnacentral:rRNA from 1 species
ACGGGUGAGUAAUACAUCGGAACGUAUCCUGGAGUGGGGGAUAGCCCGGCGAAAGCCGGAUUAAUACCGCAUACGCUCUGAGGAGGAAAGCGGGGGACCUUCGGGCCUCGCGCUCAAGGGGCGGCCGAUGGCGGAUUAGGUAGUUGGUGGGGUAAAGGCCUACCAAGCCGACGAUCCGUAGCUGGUCUGAGAGGACGACCAGCCACACUGGGACUGAGACACGGCCCAGACUCCUACGGGAGGCAGCAGUGGGGAAUUUUGGACAAUGGGGGCAACCCUGAUCCAGCAAUGCCGCGUGUGUGAAGAAGGCCUUCGGGUUGUAAAGCACUUUUGUCCGGAAAGAAAUCAUCGGGGCCAAUACCCCUGGUGGAUGACGGUACCGGAAGAAUAAGCACCGGCUAACUACGUGCCAGCAGCCGCGGUAAUACGUAGGGUGCGAGCGUUAAUCGGAAUUACUGGGCGUAAAGCGUGCGCAGGCGGUGCUGUAAGACCGAUGUGAAAUCCCCGGGCUUAACCUGGGAACUGCAUUGGUGACUGCAGCGCUGGAGUAUGGCAGAGGGGGGGUGGAAUUCCACGU